rnacentral:rRNA from 1 species
UACGGAGGGUGCGAGCGUUGUUCGGAAUUACUGGGCGUAAAGCGCGUGCAGGCGGUCGAUUAAGUCCGGUGUGAAAGCCCGGGGCUCACCCCCGGAAGUGCGCCGGAAACUAAUCAACUAAAGUACGGGAGAGGGAAGUGGAAUUCCUGGUGUAGCGGUGAAAUGCGUAGAUAUCAGGAGGAACACCGGCGGCGAAGGCGGCUUCCUGGACCGAUACUGACGCUGAGACGCGAAAGCGUGGGGAGCAAACAGG